CAGUGUCACCUAACGGCUAAGGUACUCGGCUCAUAGCCGAGCCUAUGUGGGUUCGACUCCCACCGAUGCUGU
rnacentral:tRNA from 1 species